rnacentral:rRNA from 1 species
AGAAAUUGCUGCUAAUACCGGAUGAUAUCGCGAGAUCAAAGAUUUAUCGCCUGAGGAUGAGCCCGCGUAGGAUUAGCUAGUUGGUGUGGUAAAGGCGCACCAAGGCGACGAUCCUUAUCUGGUCUGAGAGGAUGAUCAGCCACACUGGGACUGAGACACGGCCCAGACUCCUACGGGAGGCAGCAGUGGGGAAUAUUGGACAAUGGGCGAAAGCCUGAUCCAGCAAUGCCGCGUGAGUGAUGAAGGCCUUANGGUUGUAAAGCUCUUUUACCCGGGAUGAUAAUGACAGUACCGGGAGAAUAAGCUCCGGCUAACUCCGUGCCAGCAGCCGCGGUAAUAC